rnacentral:misc_RNA from 1 species
GAUGAAGAACGUAGCGAAAUGCGAUAAGUAAUGUGAAUUGCAGAAUUCAGUGAAUCAUCGAAUCUUUGAACGCACAUUGCGCCCCUUGGUAUUCCGAGGGGCAUGCCUGUUCGAGCGUCAUUAUAACCCCUCAAGCUUAGCUUGGUGUUGGGGCUUGCUGUAAUAGAGCAGCCCUUAAAAUCAGUGGCGGUGCCAUUAGGCUCUAAGCGUAGUAAUUCUCCUCGCUAUAGGGUUCUGGUGGAUGCUUGCCAUUAACCUCUAAUUUUCUAUGGUUGACCUCGGAUCAGGUAGGGAUACCCGCUGAACUUAAGCAUAUCAAUAAGCGGAGGA